ensembl:snRNA U2 U2 spliceosomal RNA
AUCGCUUCUCAGCCUUUUGGCUAAGAUCAAGUGUAAUAUCUGUUCUUAUCAGUUUAAUAUCAGAUACGUCCUCUAAUUGAGGACGAUAUAUUAAAUGUUAUAUUUAAUAAAAACAUUU